rnacentral:rRNA from 1 species
CAGCAGCCGCGGUAAUACCGGCGGCCCGAGUGGCGGUCACUAUUAUUGGGCUUAAAGCGUCCGGAGCCGGGUUGGGAAGGCCUCCGGGAAAUCUGGCCGCUUAACGGUCAGAAUGCCGGAGGAUACUCCCAGCCUAGGGAGCGGGGGAGGCCGAGGGGAUUCCCGGAGUAGGGGUGAAAUCCUAUAAUCCCGGGAGGACCACCUGUGGCGAAGGCGCUCGGCUGGAACGCGUCCGACGGUGAGGGACGAAGGCCAGGGGAGCAAACCGGAUUAGAUACCCGGGUAGUCCUGGCUGUAAACGAUGCGGACUUUGUGUCGGACAAGCUAUGAGCUUGUCCGGUGCCGGAGGGAAACCGUUAAGUCCGCCGCCUGGGGAGUACGGCCGCAAGGCUGAAACUUAAAGGAAUUGGCGGG